rnacentral:rRNA from 1 species
GACGAACGCUGGCGGCGUGCUUAACACAUGCAAGUCGAACGGAAAGGCCCUGCUUUUGUGGGGUGCUCGAGUGGCGAACGGGUGAGUAACACGUGAGUAACCUGCCCUUGACUUUGGGAUAACUUCAGGAAACUGGGGCUAAUACCGGAUAGGAGCUCCUGCUGCAUGGUGGGGGUUGGAAAGUUUCGGCGGUUGGGGAUGGACUCGCGGCUUAUCAGCUUGUUGGUGGGGUAGUGGCUUACCAAGGCUUUGACGGGUAGUCGGCCUGAGAGGGGGACCAGCGACAUUGGGACUGAGAUACGGCCCAGACUCCUACGGGAGGCAGCGGUGGGGAAUAUUGCACAAUGGGCGGAAGCCUGAUGCGGCGACGCCGCGUGCGGGAUGACGGCCUUCGGGUUGUAAACCGCUUUCGCCUGUGACGAAGCGUGAGUGACGGUAAUGGGUAAAGAAGCACCGGCUAACUACGUG